rnacentral:lncRNA from 10 species
AUUUAAACAAGCUCCCAAGAAGGCAACAGGGACCCACUGUACCCCAAGAGGCACUCCAAGUUUCCUUCAGAGAGGAAAAAGAGAGACGGGGCUCCUAGAACCCACUCUCCCCAAAGGCGAGUUUCCCAGGCGCCGCUCGUGCUGUUGCUGGAAAGCGAGCUCGCUGUAGACCGGCCGCGACACCAUGUAGCUGCAGCUGUACUCGGGGAGCUGCGGCGGCUCCGACCUGCCGCCUGGCGCUGCCAUGACCUGCGAGCCAGAGGACAGCGAGGAGGGAGGACACGCGGGAAGGAAUAAACUGGACUACAUGGAAAUCAAGACUAGAAGAGAGGGAGGAGGAGCUGGAGCUAUCCUACCUCAUCAGUGUUUUGUCUUCUGUUGGGAUGAACUUUGUUAAAACUAAUGCAUGGUUAAGAUGAAAGGCAGAAGGAAGGGUUUGAUAAACCAGAACAUUCUCGCCUGAUUGUUAGUGUUCUGAAGUAAAUACAGAAGAGGCUCCAAAAUACAGACCUCUGUACAUCAACCUUCCGUAAUCCACCUGCCUUGCAUAUGCAGACCAUGACAAUUCUACGAGCUCCUGGAAACAGAACUCAGAACUCCUCCCCAGAGAACCCUGAUGCAAAUUCUCUGAAAUGGUAGUCAGCAUGUGCGUUUUCCUGAGAAGUGAAUGAGUCAACAGCUUUCAACAGAUCUUCAAAGGCUUACUUCACCCAAUGAAGUUAAGAACCACUAAAGAAGAAACCUAAAAGGAAAAUCCAGGUCAUGAACUUUGCAAUUUUUAUUCACAUACAGAGAAGAGGGGAGGAAUCUCUUGUGUAUGUUUUACUUAUGUAUACCACUGGUUCUUAAUAAAGGGCUUUUUUUGCCUCCAGAGGUCAAUGCCUGGAGACAUUUUUGGUUGUCACACCUAGGGAGAUGCUAUUGGGAUCUAGUGAGUAGAGACCAGAGAUGCUGCUAAACAUCCUACAAUGAAGUUUGCUAUCACUCCAAGGUUUUGCAUGCGACUUAAACUGUACAUUUAUUAAUCAAUUGCUACAUGUACUAAAAUAUGUAUCUCUCUCCAUAUAUGUAUAUAUGCGUGUAUUUUUUCAUUAUUGUUGGAUGUAUAGCUCAACUCCACUACAACAGAGGAAAGUAUUUGUUUUAAAGUAGAAUCUGAAUAUACUCACUCUGUAUACCCUCAUCCAUACCUUCAAGAUCUGGUGAAAACACUAUCUCUUGCAAGAACAUUCUUUGAUGCUGUUCAGAAUUAAUCCAGACCCUUUUCUGUAUUCUCUUAAUACCUUAUCUGAUCCUCUCUUAAGUUACUUCUCACUAUCUACCUUAGUAACACAAUUUUAUUUACAUACAAGUUCUCUCUCCCUCACUAGACAAAAACUUCUUGAGGGCAAGCACUGUGUCUCCUUUCAACCAUUAUUAUCUUCUCUCAUGUUUUUUGAACAGAUUUAUCUAUAGCCCAAACAUACCUUUUCAAAAAACUAAAAAUUACUUUACAUAUUUGAUCUAAGGCUUUGUUUUUCUCCAUUAAGAGCAUGCUGUGGAUAUCUUUGCAAGUGAGUGCAUAAGGAUUUUUCUUAACCUUGGAGAUGGCUGUCUAGGAUUUCAGAAUAUCAACUCAUAUUUGUAGCUCCAUGGCAACUCACCUACACAACUCACAACUCUUUAUUGAAGGCAUUCUGUACCAAUAUAAAUAUAGUCCAUAUCCCAUUCUAAUAUGGAUUUCUGCUCCUUGUUGCUUGCUAUUUUGAACACUUUUAGUCUGGUCCAGUCAGGCCUAUAAACCACUUUGCAUCAGAACUUGGCAAUGGUUUGCUGGUUCAGAGGAUUAAGGAGUGGGGUAAGGCUGGCAGAAGGACAGAAGAGAAAAGACUUGAGUAACAACAGGAGGCAAAAGAGUAACUUAGCUUGGCUAAUAGAAUUCUUAUUUGAAAUGCAUCUCUCUAUAUAAGAGUUUGGUUCAAUAAUCACAAUAUAAUAAGUCCUGCAUGUAUCUGGAUGAAGAUAAUUGCUUUUUUCUGUUCAAUGCUUUUCCAUAGCAGAAAUAGCUGGGGCAGAACAAAAUGGUAUCUCUGUUACAGGAUUCUAUAAGGGUAUAGAACUGCUUUUCUCAUAGGUAAAAGGCAGACCGUUUGAAUUUGGCUUUUUAAAAACAGAAGAGUAGGAGGAAAUAACAGCUUGCUCUCUCCACCCUAUUUAAUUGUGAUAUUAAACACCUUAGAUUACUCACUUGGGCUUUAUAAGGCAACCUUCUCCUGUUUCACACAGAGGUGGGUGGUUCUUAUUUAUCAGACUUUUAAAAUAUUCAGGACUUCUUUCCAAAGAAAUAGAUGCAUCACUUAAAAAUAAAUAUCAGACAAUAUUAUUGAUACUUUACAGUACUUAUUUAGCAGUUAAUACUUUUUUAAAAGGCAUUUUCUUAUUUAUCAUUUAGGCAUUUGCAGUGUAAGACAAACUCCCUUGUUUGAUUACGCAUUCACCUGUUCAUUCAUUCAUUCAUUCAAGGAUUUAUUAGGAAAUUAUUUGUGCUGGCUGUGGGUACAAUGAUGAACAAAAGCUUAUACCCUGGCCUCAUAUUUAUGGGUGCAGUAGACACUAAUCAAAUGGUCACAAAAUGUGUAUCUUAUUUCACUGAUUAUAAAAUACAGAUUUUUCACAUUUUAUCAGGGUUCAUGUUAUAAUUGAUGAUCUACUAUAUAUUAUAGUUUAAUUGAUAGCGUAUUUUGUGAUUCAUAAAAUGAGUUUUAUAAUAGAAUUCUAUAAUUAAUAAAAUAUAGAUAUUUACAUAAAUUUAUAGUGUAUCUAUGCCUUUUUUUUCUUUUUUAGAGAUGGGAUCUUGCUAUUUUGCCCAGGCUGGACUUGAACUCCCAGUCUCCAGAAUAGCUGGGACUAUAGGUGCACACCACCACACCUGACAGAGUAUCUAUGCUUUUGAGUGACUACGUGUGCUACAAGAAUGAUUUAAUUGAAUCCUUCGUUUAUUUAACUUAAGAGCAGUCAAUCUUGCUACAUUAUUUUUGUCUGAGAGCGAAUAUUGUGGUAUAAAUUUUUUCUUUUUUUUUUUUUUUUUACAAUUUAAAAUGUUCUCAAAUCAGAAGAAUUGCAAAAGAAUGCAAACAUGUUGGCUGGGCGCUGUGGCUCACAGUGUAAUCCCAACACUUUGAGAAGCUGAGGCGGGAGGAUCACUUGAGCCAGGCCUAAUCCUGAGCUUUUAUUUCAUUAUGCGUGUUAAUUUUCUCAAGAUAGCAAAUGCUAAAUUUUUGUCAUACUUAUACAAAAAGAGAACUGAACUGAACUUUCUUUCUAUAUUUCUGAUCUCUUCUUCUCUGAGCAACUUAUUGGGCUUAUUCUCAGUAAUCAUACAGUUUUGCACUCAAUUGUUUUCUUGGUUUUUUGUUGUUAUUUUUAUCUUGCACUCAAUUGUUUUCUAUUUGUUUACUGUAUGCUACUUUAUUUUCUUCUCCAGUUAUAAGAUAUGCUCCCUAGGGACAUAAAUAGUAUAUGUCUUUUAUGGUGUUACAAAAAUAAGAUGUGCCUGUAGUAAAUAAUUUGGAAACUACAUUAAUGUAUAAUAUAGUAAUCACAUUUUAUCUCAUUAUCCAGAUAAUCACUGUUUUGCUUCUUUUUUUAUUUAUUCUUUCUAUGCAGACAUAGGUAUACAUUUUUAUUAAAGUAAAAUUAUAAUGCUAGUCUCUUUAUUUCCCUACACAAUACCUUGACAAAUUAUGACAAUAUAAUAGGUACCAGACUUGUUAAAUUAUUGAUCAAUUGAUUGUUUAACAAUGGAAUUUUGAGAAAUAUUUGGGUAGAAAAAAAACUAGUUUUAAAAGAAGAGAAUCCAACCAUUAAAACAUCAAAAAAUGAAAUUAUUUGUAAAUAUUAUGUGGCAAUCCAUUCAAUUUUAAACAACUUACAGUGUCAAUAAAACUAUAACUCAAUAAAUUUCUCAGGCAGAGCCCAUCUGCCUCUUCUUUAAUAUGAAUGCAAACUUGAUAUGUGGUUUAGUAAAUUGCUAGAACGAAAUGAUGGCAUAGUUUUGGGUUUUGAGGGGUUUUCUGUGUGUGUGUGUGUGUGUGUGUGUUUGUUUGUUUGUUUUAAACAGGGUCUGGCUCUGUCACCCAGGUUGAAGUGCAGUGACACUAUCUCAGCUCACUGCAACCUUCACCUCCAAAGCUCAAGCCAUUCUCCACCUCAGCCUCCCAAGUAGUUGAGACUAUAGGCAUGUGCCACCACACCCGGCUAAUUUUUGUAUUUUUUGUAGAGACAGGGUUUUGCCAUCUUGCUCAGGCUGGUCUCAAACUCCUGUGCUCAAGAGAUCCACCUGCUUCAUCCUCCCAGGGUGCUGGGAUUACAUGUGUGAGCCACCACACCCAGGUGGGUUUCUUUUAAUGUUUGUUUUAAUGAUGAUUUUUUUUUUUCAAGAGAUGGGGUCUCGCUUUGUUACCCAGGCUGGUCUCAAACUCCUGGGCUCAAAUAAUCCUACCACCUCAGCCUUCCAAAAUGCUGAUUAUAAAAUGACAUUACAGGCAGGAGCCAACUGCACUUGGCCUGGAUGUUUUCUUUCUUUUUUUUAGAGAUGGGGGUCUCACCUCAGUCCCUGAAGUAGCUGGCAUUACAGGCCUGUGCCACUAUGUCGAGCCAAUAAUGGCAUAGUUUUCUAAGCAAAGAAUAAUUUCAGGAUCCUUCCAAAUUUCUUAUUAUUUAAGUGUAUUGCACUUUUAAAGUUAUCCUUGCAUAUCUUAUCUCAUGAAAUCUGUGGUUUGUUAAUGGAG